AGAAUGACUAUAAAAACAAAUUAGAAAUUGUAAAUUCAUAGAUUAUACAGCAUUGGAUUACAGUUGACAAACCUUAAAGCAUGACACAUUGUGAAGAGGUCCUGGGCAUGACAAGUACACAGCUCUUGCCACAUGGCCCUACCACCUUGCAGUGCUGGUGCAACCACACCCAAGCUGUCUCUCCCCUAGUAAGGCAGAGCCGUUGAUACACUGGGAGCGUCAGGGACAUAUCAGACUGUUAUAUACUUUUCCAAAGUUUUCUCCCAUUUGUUCUGCUUAUCUUGUCUUGACCAGUAACAGUUUGCCAACUGGCACCAGACCACAGACCACACUUCGAAUAGCAUUGUCAUAGAUUCAAGAUUGGCAUCUGUCCAGAAUGUAAACCUAUGCCAAGUACCAAAUGCUUGUCCAGCAGUAGAUGAAGGGAUAUGCCCAUUCUUGCUCUGGUCUGGCCUAUCCCACUGAUUGCUUGAGUCUUCUUUAAAAGCUCUGCCUCAUCACACAGGUGUGGAAGCUGAGGUUCAGAGGGCAGUAGUGACCUACUGGAGGGGGAUGCAGCUGGAUUCAGAGGAAGGGUGAGAUCCAGGAAAUGGCGUUUUCUGAGGAUCAGCCCUGCCAAAGUAGAUGCCAUUGGAUAUAGCUUGUAAACAGCAAGAGGAGGCAGCAACCACGUCUUCUCUAUGGAGGUAUGCAAGAGCUGUCCAGCUGCAUCACUGUCUGGGACAAAUACCCGGGUUCGCUAUCUUGCACCAAGAAGAUUAAAGAUACAGACACAUCUUGGAAGGCACAAUACACACAGGUCUUUAUGGUCCACCAGAGCUGUGCAGCCACGGGCCAGCCAGGAGGUGGACAGCUGCUGGGCACUCUUCUGAAACAGGCAGGAUCUCACUCUGUUGCCGAGGCUGGAUUACAGCUCACUGCAACCUUGAAUUCUCCCUCAAGCAAUCCUCCCUGCUCUGCCUUUCAAAGCACUAGCAUUACAGGCCAAAGCACCACUCCCAGACACUAUAAUAUAAACUGUCUUCUUUAAUAUUUCCAGUAGUUGCAGAGUAGAUCAGAUAAGGGUUCUUCUUGACCCUUGCUUCAAGUUUCAUUCUCUCUUAAAUGAUUGAAGGUUGACUUCCAUGGUCCCCUAAAGAAUGUGGAAAGUGUGUCUUCAGAUCCAUGUAGUGUUCAUGGAAUCCCCAGAGAAGGCUGAUGUAAAACGCUUUUUUUCUCCCAAAUGUCUCAAAAAGUUGUAUUUCCUGGGUCCUAGGGAUCUGCAAGCCUCUAAAGGCAUUUCCAUUGUCACUACCAUCAGGUGUGAACUGUAAUCUGGCACAGUCCCAAGAACUGUCAUAAUACAUGCUGAAGAAAUAUUGUGAUGGUAACUUGCUGUUACCAACUGUGAAGUCAUUAGCUAGAGGAGUCUGAAAUCUGAAACACUGUGGAAAGAACAGAAAGAUCCUGUCUGUUUCCCACAAUUGUUCUGCUGAAAGUUGUCAAAAUUAUUUUCUUUUGAGACAGGGUCUCACUCCGUUGCCCAGGCUGGAGUACAGUGUUGCUACCUCAGGUCACUGCUGCCUCCAUUGCCUGAGGAUUGCCCAAGCAAUACUCCCACCUGUCACGUGAGUAGCUGGAGCCACAGGCCUGCACCACUAUGCCCAGCUAAUUACUUUUAUUUGUAGAGACAGAGUCUCUCUAUCUUACAUAGGCUGGUCUCGAACUCCUGGGCUCAAGUAAUCCUCCUGCCAUGGCUUCUCAAAGUGCUUGGGAUUACAGAUAUGAGCUACCAUGCCUGGCCUCACAGGAGACAUUUUUAAUGUCCUUCUUGACAGUCUACAAAUUUUUUUUUUUGAGACAGGGUCUUGCUCUGUCACCCAGGCUGGAGUGCAGUGAUGCCAUCAUAGCUCACUAUAGCCUAGAACUCCUGAGCCCAAGGAUCUUCCCACCUCAGCCUCCUGAGUAGCUGGGACUACAGGCACUAGCCACAAGGCCCAGAUAAUUUAUUAAUUUUUUUUUGUAGAGUCAGGGUCUCACUAUGUUGCCCAGGCUGGUCUCAAACUCCUGGCCUCAAAUAAUCUUCUGCCUCAGCCUCCCUAAGUGCUGGCAUUAUGGGUAUCAGCUGUCACGCCUGGCUACAAAUCUUAAUGUUUUCCCUUUCUGUUGUUCUUUUCUCAGGUAAUCAAAGUGGGUAGAGAAUGAUCUUUUCCCUAGGCUCCAGUGUGUAAGAAUUAAAGAAAAAGGAAAGAAACACAAACAGUGGCUUGAUGGUCAAGGAUAUUUUAGAGAAAACAAACCUGAGAGGGACUUCUGGCUGAGUUAGGUCAGAGGCACGCUCUCUUACCAUUUUUAAGGAUUCAGGGUGGGAGUGUUUAUCAGAGGCUUGAACUGCUUCUGUGUCUCUUUAGUUGUGCUUAUCUGGGAGGGAGAGUUGUGUGUCUGUUCCCAUACAUCUUUCUGCAGUGCAGGCAUAUCCCCCGAGUCUGCUUUUAGCUUUCCUAUUUUAGUGCACCUGAAGGGAAAGGAAUGUGCUUAUUAAGGCCCACUGUUUUACUGGGGCCCAUUGUGUGAAGGUGAAGUUUGGCAGUUACCCAAGAGACUUUUCCCCCAUCUCCCUCUGUGCCCCAGCUGUGUUAUCUGUAUUUUACUGUCUGCUCUUUUUGGCUGCUUGUAGUUAGAAAAGAAGUGAUUUCCUUGAAACGCAUGAGGCUAGAAGAGGAGAUAUAACUUAAAGUGGCAGUGUUUGUCCAGGAUGAUGGUGCUCUUACUUUGUCACAGUGGGCAUGGGGAUUCAGGCCACUGCCAGUGAAUUUCAGAGCCCACACACACAGGCCAGAACUAAAUUGUGAGUGUUUCAAAAAUAAAACAAACAAACAAAAAAGCUUUAUUGAAGUAUAAUUGAUAUGCAAUAAACUUGAAUAUUUAAAAUGUA